GACGAACGCUGGCGGCGUGCCUAAUACAUGCAAGUCGAACGCAGUGGGGACGGGUGAGUAACACGUGGGUAACCUCCCAUCAGAGGGGAUAACCCUUGGAAACAGGUGCUAAACCGAUCCUGAUGGAUGGACCCGCGGUGCAUUAGCUAGUUGGGGAGGUAACGGCUCCACAGGGCAACGAGGCAUAGCCGGGCUGAGAGGGUGAUCGGCCACCAGGGGACUGAGACACGGCCCAGACUCCUACGGGAGGCAGCAGGAGGGAAUCGUCGACAAUGGGCGAAAGUCUGACGGAGCAAUGCCGCGUGAGUGAAGAAGGUUUUCGGGGCGUAAAGCUCUGUUGUUAGGGAGGCGGUAUCUAAACAAAAAGCAACGGCUAACUACGUGCCAGCAGCCGCGGUAAUUC
rnacentral:rRNA from 1 species